rnacentral:rRNA from 1 species
AGGACGAACGCUGGCGGCAUGCCUAACACAUGCAAGUCGAACGCUUCCGGGGCUUCGGUCGCGGAGGAGUGGCGCACGGGUGAGUAGCGCGUGGGAACCUGCCCUGUUGUGGGGGAUAACCGAGGGAAACUUCGGCUAAUACCGCAUACGCCCCGGGACUUGGUCUUCGGAUUAGGUCUGGGGGGAAAGAUUGAUCGCAGCAGGAGGGGCCCGCGUCGGAUUAGCUGGUUGGUGGGGUAACGGCUCACCAAGGCGAUGAUCCGUAGCUGGUCUGAGAGGAUGAUCAGCCACACUGGGACUGAGACACGGCCCAGACUCCUACGGGAGGCAGCAGUGGGGGAAUAUUGGACAAUGGGGGCAACCCUGAUCCAGCAAUGCCGCGUGAGUGAUGAAGGCCUUAGGGUUGUAAAGCUCUUUCGCCCGCGACGAUGAUGACGGUAGCGGGAGAGAAGCCCGGCUAACUUCGCGCCAGCAGCCGCGGU